rnacentral:rRNA from 1 species
GACGAAAGCUGGCGGCGUGCUUAACAGAUGAAAGUCGAGCGACGCUCCUCCUUCGGGAGGAUGACGGAGCGGCGAACGGGUGAGUAACACGUGGGCAACCUGCCCCUAGCUCUGGGAUAACCCCGAGAAAUCGGGACUAAUACCGGAUAUGAAGUCGGUUGGCAUCUUCCGACUUGGAAAGUUUUUCGGCUAGGGAUGGGCCCGCGGCCUAUCAGCUUGUUGGUGGGGUAACGGCCUACCAAGGCGACGACCGGUAGCCGGACUGAGAGGGCGACCGGCCACACUGGGACUGAGACACGGCCCAAACUCCUACGGGAGGCAACAGUGGGGAAUAUUGCACAAUGGGCGAAAGCCUGAUGCAGCGACGCCCCGUGAGGGAUGAAUGCCUUCGGGUUGUAAACCUCUUUCAGCAGGGACGAAGCGCAAGUGACGGUACCUGCAGAAGAAGCACCGGCCAACUACGUGCCAACAUCCGCGAUAAUACGUACGGUGCAAGCGUUGUCCGGAAUUAUUGGGCGUAAAGAGCUCGUAGGCGGCUAGUCGCGUCGGCUGUGAAAACCUGGGGCUCAACCCCGGGCCUGCAGACGAUACGGGCUAGCUAGAACUCAGUAGGGGAGACUGGAAUUCCUGGUGUAGCGGUGAAAUGCGCAGAUAUCAGGAGGAACACCGGCUGGCGAAGGCGAGUCUUUGGGCCGAUAUUGACGUUGAGGAGCGAGAGCGUGGGGAGCGAACAGGAUUAGAUACCGCGGUAGUUCACGCCGUAGCGUUGGGCGUUAGGUGUGGUGUUCUUCCACGGAUUCCGCGCCGUAGCUAACGCAUUAAGCGCCCCGCGUGGGGAGUACGGCCGCAAGGCUAAAACUCAAAGGAAUUCACGGGGGCCCGCACUAGCGGCGGAGCAUGUUGCUUAGUUCGACGCAACGUGAAGAACCUUACCAAGGCUUGACAUCGCCGGAAAUCCUCCAGAGAUGGGGGGUCCUUUUUGGGCCGGUGACAGGUGGUGCAUGGCUGUCGUCAGCUCGUGUCGUGAGAUGUUGGGUUAAGUCCCGCAACGAGCGCAACCCUCGUUCCAUGUUGCCAGCACUUCGGGUGGGGACUCAUGGGAGACCCCCGGGGUCAACUCGGAGGAAGGUGGGGAUGACGUCAAGUCAUCAUGCCCCUUAUGUCUUGGGCUGCAAACAUGCUACAAUGGCCGGUACAGAGGGCUGCGAUACCGUGAGUUGGAGCGAAUCCCUUAAAGCCGGUCUCAGUUCGGAUCGAAGUAUGCAACUUGACUUCGUGAAGUCGGAGUCGCUAGUAAUCGCAGAUCAGCAACGAUGCGGUGAAUACGUUCCCGGCC